GGGGAUAUGGCGAAAUUGGUAGACGCUACGGACUUAAAAUCCGUCGAC
rnacentral:tRNA from 1 species